UACGUAGGCAGCGAGCGUUGUUCGGAGUUACUGGGCGUAAAGGGCGCGUAGGUGGCCUUCUAAGUUGAACGUGAAAUCCCUGGGCUCAACCCAGGAACUGCGUCCAAGACUGGGAGGCUUGAAUCCGGGAGAGGGAUGCGGAAUUCCAGGUGUAGCGGUGAAAUGCGUAGAUAUCUGGAGGAACACCGGUGGCGAAGGCGGCAUCCUGGACCGGUAUUGACACUGAGGCGCGAAAGCCAGGGGAGCAAACGGG
rnacentral:rRNA from 1 species